AGCGAACGUUAGCGGCGCGCCUAACACAUGCAAGUCGCACGAGAAACGGAGCAAUCCGCGGUACAGUGGCGCACGGGUGAGUAACACGUGGAUGACCUUCCCUGGAGUGGUGGAUAACCUGCCGAAAGGCGGGCUAAUACAGCAUAGGACCACGACGCCUUGGCGAUGUGGUGAAAGCGGGCCUCUAUAUAUAAGCUCGCGCUCCGGGACGGGUCCGCGUCCCAUCAGCUAGUUGGUGAGGUAACGGCUCACCAAGGCAACGACGGGUAGCUGGUCUGAGAGGAUGGCCAGCCACACUGGAACUGAGACACGGUCCAGACUCCUACGGGAGGCAGCAGUGGGGAAUCUUGCGCAAUGGGCGAAAGCCUGACGCAGCGACGCCGCGUGGGCGAAGAAGGCCUUCGGGUUGUAAAGCCCUGUGGGGGAGAACGAACCGUACGGGGGCGAAUACCCUCCGUGCCUGACGGUACUCCUUUAGCAAGCAUCGGCUAACUCUGUG
rnacentral:rRNA from 1 species